UACACUCCUACGGGAGGCAGCAGUGGGGAAUUUUGGACAAUGGGCGAAAGCCUGAUCCAGCCAUGCCGCGUGCAGGAUGAAGGCCUUCGGGUUGUAAACUGCUUUUGUACGGAACGAAACGGCCUUUUCUAAUAAAGAGGGCUAAUGACGGUACCGUAAGAAUAAGCACCGGCUAACUACGUGCUAGCAGCCGCGGUAAUAAGUAGGGUGCAAGCGUUAAUCGGAAUUACUGGGCGUAAAGCGUGCGCAGGCGGUUAUGUAAGACAGUUGUGAAAUCCCCGGGCUCAACCUGGGAACUGCAUCUGUGACUGCAUAGCUAGAGUACGGUAGAGGGGGAUGUAAUUCCGCGUGUAGCAGUGAAAUGCGUAGAUAUGCGGAGGAACACCGAUGGCGAAGGCAAUCCCCUGGACCUGUACUGACGCUCAUGCACGAAAGCGUGGGGAGCAAACAGGAUUAGAAACCCGAGUAGUCCCAU
rnacentral:rRNA from 1 species